rnacentral:tRNA from 1 species
GGAAGCAUAGCUCAAGGUGUAGAGCAGCGCCAUUGGCGUUUGUUAUCGGUUCGAAUCCGGUUGCUUCCA